rnacentral:rRNA from 1 species
GACGAACGCUGGCGGCGUGCUUAACACAUGCAAGUCACGGGGGCCCGCAAGGGCAACCGGCGAACGGGUGCGUAACACGUGAGCAACCUACCGAGAUCUGGGGGAUAGCCGGCCCAACGGCCGGGUAAUACCGCAUACGCUCUUUCCACGGCAUUGUGGAUUGAGGAAACCUCCGGGGGAUUUCGAGGGGCUCGCGGCCUAUCAGCUAGUUGGCGAGGUCACGGCUCACCAAGGCGACGACGGGUAGCGGUCUGAGAGGAUGGCCAGCCACAUUGGGACUGAGAGACGGCCCAGACUCCUACGGGAGGCAGCAGUGGGGAAUCUUGCGCAAUGGGCGAAAGCCUGACGCAGCGACGCCGCGUGAGGGAUGACGGCC